rnacentral:rRNA from 1 species
GAUGAACGCUGGCGGCGUGCCUAAUACAUGCAAGUCGAGCGAUGCGGGAACGGGUGAGUACGGCGUGGAUAACCUCCUAUACGACUCGGUUAACUUCGGAAAACCGGAGGUAAACCGGCUACUCAUCGGUGGCUCAGCGGUGCAUUAGCUGGUUGGUAAGGUAACGGCUUACUAAGGCCACGAUGCAUAGCCGACCUGAGAGGGUGAUCGGCCACACUGGAACGGAGACACGGUCCAGACUCCUACGGGAGGCAGCAGUAGGGAAUCUUCCGCAAUGGGCGAAAGCCUGACGGAGCAACGCCGCGUGAGUGAAGAAGGUCUUCGGAUCGUAAAACUCUGUUAUUAGGGAAGCGGUACCUAAUCAGAAAGCCACGGCUAACUACGUGCCAGCAGCCGCGGUAAUAC